AUUGAACGCUGGCGGCAGGCCUAACACAUGCAAGUCGAACGAGUGGCGGACGGGUGAGUAAUGUCUGGGAAACUGCCCGAUGGAGGGGGAUAACUACUGGAAACGGUAGCUAAUACCGCAUACCAUCGGAUGUGCCCAGAUGGGAUUAGCUAGUGGGUGGGGUAACGGCUCACCUAGGCGACGAUCCCUAGCUGGUCUGAGAGGAUGACCAGCAAAACUGGAACUGGGACACGGUCCAGACUCCUACGGGAGGCAGCAGGGGGGAAUAUGGCAAAAUGGGCGAAAGCCUGAUGCAGCCAGGCCGGGUGUAUGAAGAGGGCCUUCGGUUUGUAAAGUACUUUCAGCGAGGAGGCGUUACUCGCAGAAGAAGCACCGGCUAACUCCGUGCCAGCCGCCGCGGUAUUC
rnacentral:rRNA from 1 species